AGCGCCUCCCCCGAGACAGGUGCACCGGCCGGGCCUGCGCGGGGCAGGAGUCCCGAGUGAGGCCCCGCGGGCUCCCGUUAAGGGGCGCGGGAGCUCGCGGUGAAGCGCCCCGUACACACCCGGGGCGGGAGACGGUCCUGACCGCCUUGGCGACCGGCUGGCGUCGUUUCGGCCGCGCGACUCGGCCACCCGCAAGCUGCUGAAAAUACCCUUUCUCGUGGCCCUUCGCUGAGUGCCGAGGCAUGAACCCAAGUCCACUCCCGAGCUCGCCCAUUGACAAGUCCUUGAAAGAGGCAGUGACCUUCCCCAGGGACUUAACUGCCUCGCUGUGGACACUUCGCUAAGGGCAAAAGGCAAUCUUAGCCCAACCACCAGGAUCCUGUGAAAAAUCCCAAAUGUCCUUCAUGUUCAAAUGAGUCUUCACAGUUGCCAUUUGCCAGAAGACAGCAAUGCGAUCGUUGCAUUCAGU